rnacentral:rRNA from 1 species
AUUGAACGCUGGCGGCAUGCCUUACACAUGCAAGUCGAACGGCAGCACGGACUUCGGUCUGGUGGCGAGUGGCGAACGGGUGAGUAAUGCAUCGGAACGUGCCAUUGAGUGGGGGAUAACGUAGCGAAAGUUGCGCUAAUACCGCAUAUUCUGUGAGCAGGAAAGCAGGGGACCGCAAGGCCUUGCGCUCUUUGAGCGGCCGAUGUCAGAUUAGCUAGUUGGCGGGGUAAAGGCCCACCAAGGCAACGAUCCGUAGCGGGUCUGAGAGGAUGAUCCGCCACACUGGGACUGAGACACGGCCCAGACACCUACGGGAGGCAG